rnacentral:rRNA from 1 species
GACGAACGCUGGCGGCGUGCUUAACACAUGCAAGUCGAACGGUGAUCUUGGAGCUUGCUCCAGGUGAGCAGUGGCGAACGGGUGAGUAACACGUGAGUAACCUGCCCCAGACUCUGGAAUAAGCGCUGGAAACGGCGUCUAAUACCGGAUAUGACACUAAACCGCAUGGUUAUGGUGUGGAAAGUUUUUCGGUCUGGGAUGGACUCGCGGCCUAUCAGCCUGUUGGUGAGGUAAUGGCUCACCAAGGCGAUGACGGGUAGCCGGCCUGAGAGGGCGAUCGGCCACACUGGGACUGAGACCACGGCCCAG